rnacentral:lncRNA from 1 species
GGUUCGAAUCUCGUGACUACCGUUAAGGUUUGAUUUGGGUUUUACACAAAUACGUAUUCCAUUAUGUUAAACUAUAUGUUUAACUACCCGGAUACUCCCAACUACACACUUACAAUCAAACAAACUAUUACUUCAUCAGAAGAUUCAGAACAAUAAAGUAUACGCUUAAUUAUCAGAAGGAAUAGUAUCCAGAAGCUUGUUAAAUCAAUACUGCAUGCUUAUACUGUAAUUACAGUAUAUGGGAGUAAGAAUUGGAUCCGGCACCGAAGGCAUCAAGAAGUGGCUUAUUUUAUUAAUGAAAUCAAAUUAAGA